UCACCUUAGGGUAGUGGCAGGUUUCAGUGAGUUCUUUUUUACCCAGUUCAUUUUACAAAUGUGAUGAUGUGGAAUAGGUUUUAAAGUUGAGUACUUAAAGCCUCGUGUGGUGGUGUUUGGUUGAGAGAGAGAGAGAGAGACGCCGUUACCGCCAUGCCUACUGCUAGCGUUGGAAGGGAUCAUUUUUUUGCUGCCCUUGGCAGAUCUUACACUCAGGAAGAGUUUGAAGAUCUGUGUUUCAGUUUUGGGGUUGAACUUGACGAUGUGGUGAUUUUUUUUUCUACACUUUGUCUUUGGGAAAACAAUGGAUAUGUGUGAAUUUUGAUAGGAUAUUGUUAUUGUGAACUAGACAAUGGACAAAGCAAUAAUUUUGAAAGAGAAGCACUUUGAGGAGGAAAAAUCUAGUCUUAAUGAUGAAGUCAUUUACUAGAUUUACAAGAUUGAAGUUUCUACUAACAGGUUUCCAUUGCUUAUCUGUGACUUCAGAAUUUUCUUUUGACAGAAUUCAACAGUGUAGUAUUGCUAGGAAAAAAAACUUUUAUCCCGUUUCGACAGAAAAAAACUGAGUUAUACCCUUAUUGACUGUUGCUAAUGUGUUUAUUUUAAUCUUCUUAAAGCCAUAGGUGCAGUAACUAUUAGAUUUUCGUAAAAAGAGCUUCAAGUUGGGGUUCAUCUACUACUGUUAACCUGAAAUUGGAGAGAAUUACUUGGAGGAAAAGAGCAUGCUUCAAUUUUUUUUUUUUGCCUUGAAACUUGAUAAUUCAUGUAAAUGAGAAAAAAAAAUACUGGUGAAGGUUUUGUUUGAUUCCUAGCCAGGCAUGAUUUGCUUUGCUUGGAAGGGUUUGCACCCAGAUAUACAGUUGCCAACAUUCGUAAGGAAUCAAUGCUUAAAAUGCAUGUGAAAAAAGAGACAUCUCUAAUCCACCCCUUUGUUGUUUGUGUGGUUUUGAGGGGCAUAACUUUUGAUGAAGCAAGCUAUAACAGCUUCAUUGAUCUGCAGGAUAAGUUGUACCAAAAUAUCUACAGGCAUUGCCACCUCUAGAGAUAAAUUUUGUGCCACUAAAACAGGUAAUUUAUCAUAUAUGGGAAUAAUAGUAUUUUCAAUAUACAUAUUAACUAAAAAAACUACUUCUACCUUGCUAGUGUGAGUUCCAUUUGAUCUAGCCAUGAGGAACUUAGCUUAUAUUUGAGAGAGAAAAUGAUUAGUUUUAUUUUUUGUUAACCUUGUACCAUCUUCAAUUAGAAAUUUAGUACUAAUUGCUCAAUUUGAUCUUGCUUCUAUUACUAUAUUUGAAACAAAAAUUAUAUUUUUACAUUAAAUUUUUUGUUUACAUAAAUUUAUAUUCCAUCUGUUGUUUGAGACAAUAGAAUUCUCUAUUGACAAUUUGCCUUGUUUGCAACCAAGACAUAGUUUUCCUAUGUAAAUGUUACUCAACUAGGAGCUAGAUUCUCUCUCCACCCUGUCUUUCUAUUUACAUGUUUAUUCUUUUGCAUUUAUUGGUGCAAUUUGAGAUGGCAUUAUUCAGGUUGGGUCAAAUUCAAAUUUGAGUCACUUUAGUUCAAUGAAAACUAGGGUGUCUUUGGUUCAGGUCAUUUUUGUUUCGAGUCACUUUGGAUCCAGGUCAUCUUAGAUCUCGAGUUAUUUUGGAUUUGUGUCUUUUGAGGUUCAAGUUGUUGACUUUUAUAGUAAAAAUUGGGUUGGGUUCAAGUGGGUCUUUUGGGUUGCCUCAAAUUUUAUGAACCUCAAUUAAGUCCUUCAAAGUCACAUUUCGCUAACUAGUGGUUGUUUCACCUCCAAUAUUGAUAUGAUAAAUAUAUAUUAAAAAAAUUAGA